UUAAGCGACUAAGCGUACACGGUGGAUGCCCUGGCAGUCAGAGGCGAUGAAGGACGUGCUAAUCUGCGAUAAGCGUCGGUAAGGUGAUAUGAACCGUUAUAACCGGCGAUUUCCGAAUGGGGAAACCCAGUGUGUUUCGACACACUAUCAUUAACUGAAUCCAUAGGUUAAUGAGGCGAACCGGGGGAACUGAAACAUCUAAGUACCCCGAGGAAAAGAAAUCAACCGAGAUUCCCCAGUAGCGGCGAGCGAACGGGGAGGAGCCCAGAGCCUGAAUCAGUGUGUGUGUUAGUGGAAGCGUCUGGAAAGGCGCGCGAUACAGGGUGACAGCCCCGUACACAAAAAUGCACAUAUUGUGAGCUCGAUGAGUAGGGCGGGACACGUGGUAUCCUGUCUGAAUAUGGGGGGACCAUCCUCCAAGGCUAAAUACUCCUGACUGACCGAUAGUGAACCAGUACCGUGAGGGAAAGGCGAAAAGAACCCCGGCGAGGGGAGUGAAAAAGAACCUGAAACCGUGUACGUACAAGCAGUGGGAGCCUCUUUAUGGGGUGACUGCGUACCUUUUGUAUAAUGGGUCAGCGACUUAUAUUCUGUAGCAAGGUUAACCGAAUAGGGGAGCCGAAGGGAAACCGAGUCUUAACUGGGCGUUAAGUUGCAGGGUAUAGACCCGAAACCCGGUGAUCUAGCCAUGGGCAGGUUGAAGGUUGGGUAACACUAACUGGAGGACCGAACCGACUAAUGUUGAAAAAUUAGCGGAUGACUUGUGGCUGGGGGUGAAAGGCCAAUCAAACCGGGAGAUAGCUGGUUCUCCCCGAAAGCUAUUUAGGUAGCGCCUCGUGAAUUCAUCUCCGGGGGUAGAGCACUGUUUCGGCAAGGGGGUCAUCCCGACUUACCAACCCGAUGCAAACUGCGAAUACCGGAGAAUGUUAUCACGGGAGACACACGGCGGGUGCUAACGUCCGUCGUGAAGAGGGAAACAACCCAGACCGCCAGCUAAGGUCCCAAAGUCAUGGUUAAGUGGGAAACGAUGUGGGAAGGCCCAGACAGCCAGGAUGUUGGCUUAGAAGCAGCCAUCAUUUAAAGAAAGCGUAAUAGCUCACUGGUCGAGUCGGCCUGCGCGGAAGAUGUAACGGGGCUAAACCAUGCACCGAAGCUGCGGCAGCGACGCUUAUGCGUUGUUGGGUAGGGGAGCGUUCUGUAAGCCUGUGAAGGUGUGCUGUGAGGCAUGCUGGAGGUAUCAGAAGUGCGAAUGCUGACAUAAGUAACGAUAAAGCGGGUGAAAAGCCCGCUCGCCGGAAGACCAAGGGUUCCUGUCCAACGUUAAUCGGGGCAGGGUGAGUCGACCCCUAAGGCGAGGCCGAAAGGCGUAGUCGAUGGGAAACAGGUUAAUAUUCCUGUACUUGGUGUUACUGCGAAGGGGGGACGGAGAAGGCUAUGUUGACCGGGCGACGGUUGUCCCGGUUUAAGCGUGUAGGCUGGUUUUCCAGGCAAAUCCGGAAAAUCAAGGCUGAGGCGUGAUGACGAGGCACUACGGUGCUGAAGCAACAAAUGCCCUGCUUCCAGGAAAAGCCUCUAAGCAUCAGGUAACAUCAAAUCGUACCCCAAACCGACACAGGUGGUCAGGUAGAGAAUACCAAGGCGCUUGAGAGAACUCGGGUGAAGGAACUAGGCAAAAUGGUGCCGUAACUUCGGGAGAAGGCACGCUGAUAUGUAGGUGAAGUCCCUCGCGGAUGGAGCUGAAAUCAGUCGAAGAUACCAGCUGGCUGCAACUGUUUAUUAAAAACACAGCACUGUGCAAACACGAAAGUGGACGUAUACGGUGUGACGCCUGCCCGGUGCCGGAAGGUUAAUUGAUGGGGUUAGCGGUAACGCGAAGCUCUUGAUCGAAGCCCCGGUAAACGGCGGCCGUAACUAUAACGGUCCUAAGGUAGCGAAAUUCCUUGUCGGGUAAGUUCCGACCUGCACGAAUGGCGUAAUGAUGGCCAGGCUGUCUCCACCCGAGACUCAGUGAAAUUGAACUCGCUGUGAAGAUGCAGUGUACCCGCGGCAAGACGGAAAGACCCCGUGAACCUUUACUAUAGCUUGACACUGAACAUUGAGCCUUGAUGUGUAGGAUAGGUGGGAGGCUUUGAAGUGUGGACGCCAGUCUGCAUGGAGCCGACCUUGAAAUACCACCCUUUAAUGUUUGAUGUUCUAACGUUGACCCGUAAUCCGGGUUGCGGACAGUGUCUGGUGGGUAGUUUGACUGGGGCGGUCUCCUCCUAAAGAGUAACGGAGGAGCACGAAGGUUGGCUAAUCCUGGUCGGACAUCAGGAGGUUAGUGCAAUGGCAUAAGCCAGCUUGACUGCGAGCGUGACGGCGCGAGCAGGUGCGAAAGCAGGUCAUAGUGAUCCGGUGGUUCUGAAUGGAAGGGCCAUCGCUCAACGGAUAAAAGGUACUCCGGGGAUAACAGGCUGAUACCGCCCAAGAGUUCAUAUCGACGGCGGUGUUUGGCACCUCGAUGUCGGCUCAUCACAUCCUGGGGCUGAAGUAGGUCCCAAGGGUAUGGCUGUUCGCCAUUUAAAGUGGUACGCGAGCUGGGUUUAGAACGUCGUGAGACAGUUCGGUCCCUAUCUGCCGUGGGCGCUGGAGAACUGAGGGGGGCUGCUCCUAGUACGAGAGGACCGGAGUGGACGCAUCACUGGUGUUCGGGUUGUCAUGCCAAUGGCACUGCCCGGUAGCUAAAUGCGGAAGAGAUAAGUGCUGAAAGCAUCUAAGCACGAAACUUGCCCCGAGAUGAGUUCUCCCUGACUCCUUGAGAGUCCUGAAGGAACGUUGAAGACGACGACGUUGAUAGGCCGGGUGUGUAAGCGCAGCGAUGCGUUGAGCUAACCGGUACUAAUGAACCGUGAGGCUUAACCUU
rnacentral:rRNA from 1 species